rnacentral:rRNA from 1 species
AAACCAACAGGGAUUGCCUCAGUAACGGCGAGUGAAGCGGCAAGAGCUCAAAUUUGAAAUCUGGCCCCUCCGGGGUCCGAGUUGUAAUUUGCAGAGGAUGCUUCGGAUACGGCCCCCGUCUAAGUGCCCUGGAACGGGCCGUCGGAGAGGGUGAGAAUCCCGUCUGGGACGGGGUGUCCGUGUCCGUGUGAAGCUCCUUCGACGAGUCGAGUUGUUUGGGAAUGCAGCUCUAAAUGGGUGGUAAAUUUCAUCUAAAGCUAAAUAUUGGCCGGAGACCGAUAGCGCACAAGUAGAGUGAUCGAAAGAUGAAAAGCACUUUGAAAAGAGAGUUAAACAGCACGUGAAAUUGUUGAAAGGGAAGCGCUUGCGACCAGACUCGCCGACGGGGUUCAGCCGGGAUUCGUCCCGGUGUACUUCCCCGCCGGCGGGCCAGCGUCGGUUUGGGCGGCCGGUCAAAGGCCUCCGGAAUGUAUCGCCCUCCGGGGCGUCUUAUAGCCGGAGGUGCAAUGCGGCCUGCCCGGACCGAGGAACGCGCUUCGGCACGGACGCUGGCAUAAUGGUCGUAAGCGAC